UCCCUGGAGGACUAGUGGUUAGGCCACAGCGCUCUCACCACUGUGGCCAGGGUUCGACCACAGCCACUGGAG